UCUGUCCGCUGGGGGCGCGCGCAGUGAGUGGCAGGCGGCAGCGGCGCUGGCGGCCGAGUGCGCGGGUCACGCGUGGCGGUGCGUGGUUGCUAGGGGCGCCUGAGGCUGCCUGGUAGCCUAGCAGGCCGAGGGAGGAAGUAGCGUGGAGCCGGUGCCGAGCCGGGGCGAAGGUGGAUCCCCUAGAUAGACUGUCUUCAAGCUCACUAAUACUGUCCUCUGCUUGAUCCAUUGUGCUGUUAAGAGUCUAGUAAAUUUUUCAGCACAAAAUAUUCCAGGCCCGUCUCCUGCUCUCCCUGCCCUAACCCUGUAAUCAGCCAUUUUUCAAGGAGCUCUGGCUGCUUUUAUUAACAGACUGACGGACUUCAAGGAUGCAGCUGCUACUACCGGAGGUGUGUGGCACCUUACCUGAGCCAGGCCAUGGGACUGUGUGGCCAUGAUGUGGGCCCCUCAUGGCCUCAGCAGGAGCAGAGCACUACAGUAUUGGCCUCCGCCAGAAAAACAGCUUCAAGCAGAGUGGUCCCUCAGGCACAGUGUCUGCCACGCCACCUGAGAAACCCUCAGAGGGCAAAGUCUGGCCUCAGGCCCAUCAGCAAGUGAAGCCAAUCUGGAAGCUGGAAAAGAAGCAAGUGGAGACACUGUCAGCAGGGUUGGGCCCAGCCCUCUUGGGCAUCCCACCCCAGCCAGCAUAUUUCUUUUGCCCUAGCACUUUAUGUAGCUCUGGGACCACGGCUGUCAUUGCAGGCCACAGCAGUUCCUGUUACCUACACUCUCUCCCGGACUUGUUCAACAGCACCCUCCUAUACCGCCGCUCCAGCUAUAGGCACAAACCCUACCAGCAACUGGAGUCUUUCUGCUUGCGUUCGAGCCCAUCAGAAAAAAGCCCUUUUUCUCUCCCUCAAAAGAGCCUCCCUGUCAGUCUCACUGCCGACAAGGCCACUUCUUCCAUGGUCUUCCCCAUGGCCCAGCCCAUGGCCUCCUCAUCCACAGAACCAUACCUCUGCUUGGCAGCGGCUGGGGAAAACCCUUCAGGGAAGAGCCUGGCGUCUGCCAUCUCAGGGAAGAUCCCAUCUCCACUCUCUUCCUCCUAUAAGCCCAUGCUGAAUAAUAAUUCCUUCAUGCGGCCAAAUAGCACGCAAGUGCCUUUAUUGCAGACCACAGAGGGCCUGAAGCCAGUAUCGCCACCCAAGAUCCAGCCUGUCUCCUGGCAUCAUUCAGGGGGUACUGGAGACUGUGCACCGCAGCCUGUUGACCAUAAGGUGCCCAAAAGCAUUGGCAGUGUCCUAGCUGAUGCCAGUGCCCAUAUCGCCUUGUCUACCCCUAACUCCCAUGACACAUCCACCACCAGUGUUGCCUCUUCCUGGUAUAACCGGAAUAACUUAGCCAUGAGGGCAGAGCCACUUUCCUGUGCUCUGGAUGACAACUCUGAUUCCCAGGCCCCAACUAAGGAGAUUCGGUUCACUGAGGCCGUAAGGAAAUUGACUGCAAGAGGCUUUGAGAAGAUGCCGAGGCAAGGCUGCCAGUUUGAACAGUCUAGUUUCCUGAACCCCAGCUUCCAGUGGAACGUCCUCAACAGGAGCAGGCGGUGGAAACCUCCUGUGGUAAAUCAGCAGUUUCCUCAGGAGGAUGCUGGAUUGGUUGGUCGGGUCCUCCCUGGUGCCUCAGAUACCUUGGGGUUGGACAAUACAGUCUUCUGUACCAAACGUAUCAGCAUUCACCUCCUUGCCUCACAUGCCAGUGGGCUCAAUCACAGCCCUGCCUGUGAAUCUGUAAUUGACCCCCCACCAUUUGGAGAAGGCAAAGCUCCAGGUCCCCCUUCUCCUCAAACUCUUGGCAUAGCCAACGUGGCCACCCGCCUCUCUUCCAUCCAGCUGGGCCAGUCUGAGAAGGAGAGACCUGAGGAGGCCAGGGAGCUGGACUCAUCUGAUAGGGAUAUUAGUUCAGCUACUGACCUCCAGCCAGAUCAGGCUGAGACUGAAGAUACAGAAGAAGAACUAGUAGAUGGUUUGGAAGACUGUUGUAGCCAUGAUGAGAAUGAAGAGGAAGAGGGAGACUCAGAGUGCUCCUCAUUAAGUGCUGUCACCCCUAGCGAAUCGGUGGCCGUGAUCUCUAGAAGCUGUAUGGAAAUUCUGACCAAACCCCUUUCCAAUCAUGAGAAAGUUGUCCGACCAGCCCUCAUCUACAGUCUCUUUCCCAACGUUCCCCCUACCAUCUAUUUUGGCACUCGGGAUGAGAGAGUGGAGAAACUUCCCUGGGAGCAGAGGAAGUUGCUCCGGUGGAAGAUGAGCACAGUGACCCCCAACAUUGUCAAGCAGACCAUUGGACGGUCCCACUUCAAAAUCAGCAAAAGAAACGAUGACUGGCUGGGCUGUUGGGGUCACCACAUGAAGUCUCCUAGUUUCCGAUCCAUUCGAGAGCAUCAGAAGCUAAACCAUUUCCCAGGCUCAUUCCAGAUUGGGAGGAAGGACCGGCUAUGGCGGAACCUGUCACGCAUGCAGAGCCGCUUUGGCAAGAAGGAGUUCAGUUUCUUCCCCCAGUCCUUUAUCCUGCCCCAGGACGCCAAGCUCCUGCGCAAAGCAUGGGAGAGCAGCAGCCGCCAAAAGUGGAUUGUGAAGCCACCAGCAUCAGCUCGAGGCAUUGGCAUCCAGGUUAUUCAUAAGUGGAGUCAGCUCCCUAAGCGAAGGCCCCUCCUGGUACAGAGGUAUCUACACAAACCCUACCUCAUCAGCGGCAGCAAGUUUGACCUGCGGAUCUAUGUUUACGUCACUUCCUACGAUCCUCUGCGGAUUUACCUCUUUUCGGAUGGACUGGUCCGCUUUGCCAGUUGCAAGUAUUCUCCUUCCAUGAAGAGCCUUGGCAAUAAGUUCAUGCACCUGACCAACUACAGUGUCAAUAAAAAGAAUGCCGAGUACCAGGCCAAUGCAGAUGAAAUGGCCUGCCAGGGCCACAAAUGGGCACUGAAGGCUUUGUGGAACUACCUGAGCCAGAAGGGAGUCAAUAGUGAUGCCAUCUGGGAGAAGAUAAAGGAUGUUGUUGUCAAAACCAUCAUCUCGUCAGAGCCCUACGUGACGAGUCUGCUCAAGAUGUAUGUGCGGCGGCCGUAUAGCUGCCACGAACUCUUUGGUUUUGACAUCAUGCUAGACGAAAACCUCAAGCCCUGGGUCCUGGAAGUCAACAUUUCCCCAAGCCUCCACUCCAACUCUCCACUGGAUAUCAGCAUCAAAGGCCAGAUGAUUCGUGACCUUCUGAAUCUGGCAGGUUUUGUCCUGCCCAAUGCAGAGGAUGUCAUUUCCAGCCCUAGCAGCUGCAGCAGCUCCACCACCAGCUUGCCCACCUCCCCCGGGGACAAAUGUCGAAUGGCUCCAGAGCAUGUCACUGCACAGAAGAUGAAGAAAGCCUAUUAUCUGACCCAGAAAAUUCCUGAUCAGGACUUCUAUGCAUCUGUGCUGGAUGUUCUGACACCAGAUGAUGUUCGGAUUCUGGUUGAGAUGGAAGAUGAGUUUUCUCGCCGUGGUCAGUUUGAACGAAUUUUUCCUUCUCAUAUCUCCUCUCGCUAUCUCCGCUUUUUUGAGCAGCCACGAUAUUUCAACAUUCUCACCACCCAAUGGGAACAGAAAUACCAUGGCAACAAGCUUAAAGGAGUCGAUCUGCUCCGGAGUUGGUGCUACAAAGGGUUCCACAUGGGAGUUGUCUCUGAUUCUGCUCCAGUGGUGAGUGCUGCCACUGUGGAGGACAGCUCCUUCUCAGGCCCCUCCCUCUGCCUUAUGAGUGCAUCAGGAGUUGGAUUGGUAUGUAGAGGCCUCUCUCACUUCUCUGCUAGGCUGUGCUUCUGUCUCACUACUCUUUCCUUUCAAGGGAAUAGUUGCCUCCAGGAUUCCCUGGGUACCUUUCUUUCAAGGAUCAAAAAGUGCUUUGUAGGCCUCAACUUCUUGUCUGAUUCAGAAGAGAACUGAGACUUUUACCCACCCGGGCCUACACCUGAGGGGUAGGGAAGGGGAGAGCCCCAUGAUCCACUUAGAGGUAGAGCUGGAGGGUCCCAAGACCCCAAACACUCCUGCCUUGCCUCUGCCAAGCCCUUUUGGUCUCAUUGAUUCCUUUGCUCUUAGUGGUCUCUCCCGACAACACUUCUGACUGUCUCAAAGGAUGACGUGAUACUCAAUGCCUUCAGCAAAUCAGAGACUAGCAAGCUGGGAAACCCAGUUCCUCAAAGGACAGUGAGGACACCAGCAAAGAGCCCAGCCUUUCCACUCAGACGUUACCUGUGAUCAAGUACUCUGGGCGGACUUCAAGAGUUUCUACUUCCUCCACUUUCCAGUCAACCAGUGACUCCCUUCUGGCUGUGAGCACAUAAUUGGCCUCUCUCCAAAAGCCUCUGCCCAGGAGCAUGGGCAUCAGCUACCUCACGGGAACCAGCCUGCUGUUCAGACCAGUCUGAACUCCUACCCCUUUCACCCUGUCCCUCCUCAGAGUAUUUUUUGAAGUGGUUGCAUUACAGAGAUGGGUAUUUGUAGGGCCGGGGGGAUGGUAGUGAUGGGGAGAAGGUGAGGAAGGGUCACCCUUUGUCACCUGUCUGCCUGGCUGGCACCUCAUAUCUCAGCAGAGAAGCCAGUGGUGGCCACGCAGCCUUAUAAAGCAGGUUUUCGUUUCUACCUUAAGUGAGCCAUGUGUGGUUUGUUUGGGGCCCUGGUGAGGUUGCUGAGUUGUAGCUCAGGAGAAAACAUACAGAACGUAUUUAGACCGGAAGUCCUUUGUUCUGAAUUUGAGGGGGUCUUCUGAGGUCCUUAUUUCCUUAGAUCUUUCCUCACCCCUCUCCCAUCCCCUGUCCUGAGGAGAAGCCUUUGAACUUCCUCAGUAGACAGGCGGAGAAGCCACAACAUGCCGAGCCCAUUUCCUGUCAUCCUCGUCUUGGGGCUUCACUGCCUCCUUCCAAAUACUCCCCCUGCCAGCAGCCCUAGGUCUUCCUAUUCUGACCCCCCAUCACUGCUCAUUUAGCCUUCUAGAAGCCUCUCUCGUGGACAUCUCUUCUUUAGCUGUUGGCUUUCUGUGAGGUGCGAGAGGAUCUAUGAACUUUGUGAAUUUCCCAUGGCCCCAGUGAAGGAGCCCAGAUAAUCCCAGUAGCUGUUACCUGUCUCCAUGUAUCAAAGGACACAGUCCAGGGGGAAGGUGGAGGGGGAUGUGGUUUCUCUACAAUGCAACAAAUGUGGUUUCUCAGUGUUCUGCCCUACGGCAAGCAGGGUCUGGUGGGUUUCAGGAGCAGUCACUAUUGCAGGAUGGGCUUCCAAUCAAACCUCAGACUAAACUUUUGUACUCAACUGAUUCUACCUCCCUCCUCUAGACUCAGUAAACAGUGACUAUUCAAUAAA